rnacentral:lncRNA from 1 species
CGGCGCCGGCCUCCGUCGUCCCACCCGCCACCCGCCACGACCCAGCGGCGCAGACUGCGCAGUCCUCUCGCGAGUUGCGACCCUCGCCCAGUCCGUCAGUCGCCUACCUUCCCUUUGUUCCGCCCGAUUCCCAACUCCCUCUGUUCGACCCAGCCUCGCCGCCUCCGCCUCCGAGCUGCCACCAGACGCGCCGCCAGCCAUCCCCACUUCCAGGUACAAUACUUAUUCUUCUUCCUUUUUUUUAAUGACUCAAUCAAUGUGUAUUGUGCUUUGUUUUGUUUAGUUAAAUUGAUUUGCAACAUUUGCUUUGUUUAGAUUUUCAGCAAUGUGUCAUUGUGUAUACUCAAUGUGUAUUGUGCAGUGCAUUUGUUAUGUUCAAAUUUAGAUAAGCGAGUAAUUGAUUAAUUGAUUUGCUUUGUUUAUUGAUUGUUUUGCUAAACUCCCUCUGUUUUAGAUAAGCGAGUAAUAGAUUUGCUUUGUUUUUGCAACUCCCUCUGUUCGACCCAGCCUUUGCUUUGUUAAAUUGAUUUGCUUUGUUUAUUGAUUGUUUUGCUAAACUGAUUUGCUUUGUUUUGCUUUGCUAAUUUACUAAAUCAGUUUGGUAAAUCUAAGACAGCAUUUACUUAUUUUGUAGUUUACUAAUUUUCUUUAUAAAUUCAGUUUGACAGUUUCUAAAUGACUAAAUGAGUGUGUUUACUUAUUUUGUAGUUUGCUACAUUGUUAUGGAAUCUUCUCGCAAUAGUAAUCGAGUUGAGGAAGACGAUAUUGAUAUGAAUGAUGAUAUGGAUGAUGAUGGGUUAGAGGAUAUUCCUAUUGGCGAAGAUGGGGAAGCUAUAG